rnacentral:rRNA from 1 species
AUGAGCUGGAAAUCACAUAAGCAGAAGGUCGUCGCCACCUCUUCGUGCGAAGCCGAGUACAUUGCAGCGGCGACAGCGGCGUGCCAAGGGAUAUGGUUGGCUUGUCUUCUCGGCGAGCUACUAAAACGAGAUGCUACCCCUGCGAUCCUCUACGUUGACAACAAGUCCGCCAUCUCGCUGUGCAAAAAUCCGGUACUUCACGACCACAGCAAGCACAUUGAUCUCGGCUACCACUUCAUACGGGACUGUGUGUCAAGAAGGGCAUGGUGGUUGUGGAGUUCGUCGGAACCAGUGAGCAAAAGGCAGACAUUCUGA